AUUUUUUCACAAGUAGCUCUAAAGUUACACAUGCAGGCUAUCUCCCUUGCCAAGCUAGUGUGAUCUCUGGAUGUCUUUUGAAAUAUUCGAUGGUUUUUUUCCACAGGGCAUGCGUAUAUUCAGCAUAUAUCAUCUUGAGGAGUUUUGCUGAUUUGUCUUCCCUUUGGUAUGAUAACAAAUGAACUGUAGCUGCUCCUCCCAUGUAGAACUUCUAUUAUUCUGUAGUUGUGCCCAAUGAAUCAGUCUACUCCAUAAACUUUUAGCAUAGCCACAUUCAGCAAAUAAGUGGUUUCUUGUCUCCAAACUUGAUUGACAAAGCACACAGAUACUGCCUUUGGAUAUUGGGGAACGGCGCAACUUUGGUUAACAGUGGCUCCAUCUGGAGAAACUUAGUCAUUGACGCCAAGGCUAGACGUUGUUACUUUGAUGUUACUGACGACAAGAGAUUGAAUCAAGCAAUUUCAAAUGCAACCAUUGAGCUUGGCCAAAUAGAAACAUUACUUAGAACAGACUCACCUACAUUCAAAGCCGCCAAGUGGAAGAGACUUAAUACUUCCAAUGACUUGGCCAAUUGAUGGAAAUACUGUCUCAAGAACUAGCUCAGCUCACAGUGAUGGAGACGAGAACUUGGCCCGUCAACUGGCAGCUAUGAGUUUGAGGGAUAAACCAGGAUAUUCAAGAAGUUCCAAGUAAGUUUUGGUUGUACAUUUAGAAAGUAAAUCCACAUCACACCCCUUACGGUGCGGCCCUUCCCCGGACCCUCGUAAAUACAGGAUGCUUUGUCCAUCGGGCAACGUUUUUUGUCUAUAAGGGAAAUAAUGCAUGGAAAGUAAAAAAACAGAAGUUGAUGACUUGUGUUGCUACCAAAGAAAUACUCCUUUUUUGGGUAUCAGAUCAAUAUAUUUACUAACUCUACUCAUUUUUACCAAUAAUUUUCAAAAUUCCAAGAUGAAGAAACCAGGAAUGUUCCGUGAAGUAAAACAAAAAUGAUUAUGUAUGAGUAACAGAUUUGGCAAAUCUUCUUAUAAUUAAGUCUAUUUAAAUUGAUUCGACAUACUAAGAUCUUCGAGCUGUAUAACAUGGAGUCUUUGAUACUUUUGAGAGGGUGGGAGCUCCAUUUUGCAAGCUACGCAAACCAUCCAUUGAAUAAAUCUCAUUACAAUGCAACUACCAAUAAUAGUCUUGUACAUGCUGUAGCUGUAAAUUUCAAUCAAAAGGGUCAUAACAAGUAACAACAGCAAAAAUUCAAGAAUCAGCAGAUCAAAGGAGUAUUAUAUGCCUAGCUUCCAAGCAAUGGAAGCUACAAUCUGCCAAAAACAGAGAAUUUAAUGUUCAAAAAUUUGUUAUGUCAAAUGAAUCAACAACAUAAAUUGAGAAAAACUUAAAAGUAGCUUUAGAAAGCAGUUCAAACACGUGUAACAAGGUUACCUCAGAAAAAACAUGAUAGAAUUGCAAACUAUAAUAUCUUAUAUUUACCUCUUGUAUGCAACUUUAAGGUCUCCCAUUUGAACUCAUUUGAACGCGUUGCAGUCAGAACAUUCCGUAAUAAAUCAUCGACGAGUCAAUAACUAGACUGAUCUGAGAUCGGUUGCCACACUGCUUUGAUCAUUCCUCCUUUCUUCGUCUUGGACUUGUGAAAAUUACUCGUAACCAUGAGUAGAGUUAGUAACAAUAUCACUCUGAUACUCCCUCCGGUCCACUUUAAUUGAUUUUUUGGCUGUUUCACUCAUAUUAAGGAACCCACCUUUUGUAUUAAUUAAUAAUAAAAUUGACCAUAACCUUAGUUUGUUCAUUCCAAAUAUAACAAAUACUUCUAGACUUUUUACUCCAAGGGCAACUUUGAAAAAAAGAAGUUAAUCUCUUCUCGAAAAAAAUCAAAUAUUGUGGACCACAAAGAAAGACCAAAAUAUCAAUUAAAGUGGACUGGAGGGAGUACCUUAUCGAAAAGAUUAGUUAUAUACACAAGUCAUCUACCAAAAAACAAGUUAAAAUACCACGGGCUAGCCAGUUUUCGGACUGGUCAUUCAAACAUAGUUAGCGUUUGCAAAGUCAUUGAAAAUAGCCACUAUUUUGCUGCAACAUGGACCGGUCCAACAAAAUAUACGGGAGAUCAGUGCACUUGUGUAUGAA